UACGAAGGGGGCUAGCGUUGCUCGGAAUUACUGGGCGUAAAGCGUGCGCAGGCGGUUCGUUGUGUCGGCGGUGAAAGCCCCGGGCUUAACCUGGGAAUGGCCGUCGAAACUGGCGAACUGGAGUGUGGCAGAGGGGGGUGGAAUUCCGCGUGUAGCAGUGAAAUGCGUAGAUAUCAGGAGGAAUACCGAUGGCGAAGGCAGGUCUCUGGGCUGACACUGACGCUCAUGCACGAAAGCGUGGGGAGCAAACAGG
rnacentral:rRNA from 1 species